UAAUACGUAGGGCGCAAGCGUUGUCCGGAAUUAUUGGGCGUAAAGAGCUCGUAGGCGGCUUGUCACGUCGGGUGUGAAAGCCCGGGGCUUAACCCCGGGUCUGCAUUCGAUACGGGCUAGCUAGAGUGUGGUAGGGGAGGUCGGAAUUCCUGGUGUAGCGGUGAAAUGCGCAGAUAUCAGGAGGAACACCGGUGGCGAAGGCGGAUCUCUGGGCCAUUACUGACGCUGAGGAGCGAAAGCGUGGGGAGCGAACAGGAUUAGAUACCCUGGUAGUCCACGCCGUAAACGGUGGGAACUAGGUGUUGGCGACAUUCCACGUCGUCGGUGCCGCAGCUAACGCAUUAAGUUCCCCGCCUGGGGAGUACGGCCGCAAGGCU
rnacentral:rRNA from 1 species